AGAGUUUGAUCCUGGCUCAGAUUGAACGCUGGCGGCAGGCCUAACACGUGCAAGUCGAGCGAGAAAGCACUUCGGUGUGAGUACAGCGGCGGACGGGUGAGUAACGCGUAGGAAUCUACCUAGUAGUGGGGGACAACAUGUGGAAACGCAUGCUAAUACCGCAUACGCCCUAUGGGGGAAAGCAGGGGAUCUUCGGACCUUGCGCUAUUGGAUGAGCCUGCGUCAGAUUAGCUAGUUGGUGGGGUAAUGGCCUACCAAGGCAACGAUCUGUAGCUGGUCUGAGAGGAUGAUCAGCCACACUGGGACUGAGACACGGCCCAGACUCCUACGGGAGGCAGCAGUGGGGAAUAUUGGACAGUGGGCGAAAGCCUGAUCCAGCCAUGCCGCGUGUGUGAAGAAGGCUCUAGGGUUGUAAAGCACUUUCAGUAGGGAGGAAAAGUUAGUAGUUAAUAACUGCUAACCCUGACGUUACCUACAGAAGAAGCACCGGCAAACUCCGUGCCAGCAGCCGCGGUAAUACGGAGGGUGCGAGCGUUAAUCGGAAUUACUGGGCGUAAAGCGCGCGUAGGCGGUUUGAUAAGCUGGAUGUGAAAGCCCUGGGCUUAACCUGGGAACUGCAUCCAGAACUGUCUGACUAGAGUACAGUAGAGGUGAGUGGAAUUUCCUGUGUAGCGGUGAAAUGCGUAGAUAUAGGAAAGGAACAUCAGUGGCGAAGGCGGCUCACUGGACUGAUACUGACGCUGAGG
rnacentral:rRNA from 1 species